rnacentral:rRNA from 1 species
UACGUAGGGUGCAAGCGUUGUCCGGAAUUAUUGGGCGUAAAGAGCUCGUAGGCGGCUUGUCGCGUCGGCUGUGAAAACCUGGGGCUCAACCCCGGGCCUGCAGCCGAUACGGGCAAGCUAGAAUUCGGUAGGGGAGACUGGAAUUCCUGGUGUAGCGGUGAAAUGCGUAGAUAUCUGGAGGAAUACCGGUGGCGAAGGCGGCAUCCUGGACCGGCAUUGACGCUGAGGAGCGAAAGCCAGGGGAGCAAACGGG